GCCUUAUACAUGCAAGUCGAACGAAGUAGCAAUACUUAGUGGCAGACGGGUGAGUAACAUGUAGGUAUCUUCCCUUUGGUGAGGAAUAACACGAGGAAACUUGUGCUAAUACCUCAUAAGUCUUUACGGAGAAAGCUUUAUGCGCCGAAGGAUGAGCCUGCACUUGAUUAGUUUGUUGGUGGGGUAAUGGCCUACCAAGACUUUGAUCUAUAGCUGAUCUGAGAGGAUGAUCAGCCACAUUGGGACUGAGACACGGCCCAAACUCCUACGGGAGGCAGCAGUAGGGAAUAUUGCACAAUGGAGGAAACUCUGAUGCAGCGAUGCCGCGUGAGUGAAGAAGGCCUUUGGGUUGUAAAGCUCUUUCGUCGGGGAAGAAAAUGACUGUACCCGAAUAAGAAGGUCCGGCUAACUUCGUGCCAGCAGCCGCGGUAAUACGAAGGGACCUAGCGUAGUUCGGAAUUACUGGGCUUAAAGAGUUCGUAGGUGGUUAAAAAAGUUGGUGGUGAAAUCCCAGAGCUUAACUCUGGAACUGCCAUCAAAACUUUUUAGCUAGAGUAUGAUAGAGGAAAGCAGAAUUUCUAGUGUAGAGGUGAAAUUCGUAGAUAUUAGAAAGAAUACCAAUUGCGAAGGCAGCUUUCUGGAUCAUUACUGACACUGAGGAACGAAAGCAUGGGUAGCGAAGAGGAUUAGAUACCCUCGUAGUCCAUGCCGUAAACGAUGUGUGUUAGACGUUGGAAAUUUAUUUUCAGUGUCGCAGCGAAAGCAUUAAACACACCGCCUGGGGA
rnacentral:rRNA from 1 species